rnacentral:rRNA from 1 species
GUACCGGGAGGAAAGCCUUUGGGUUGUAAACCCCUUUUCUCAGGGAAGAAGAAAGUGACGGUACCUGAGGAAUCAGCCUCGGCUAACUCCGUGCCAGCAGCCGCGGUAAUACGGAGGAGGCAAGCGUUAUCCGGAAUGAUUGGGCGUAAAGCGUUCGUAGGUGGCAAUUCAAGUCUGCUGUCAAAGACAGUAGCUCAACUACUGCAAGGCAGUGGAAACUGAAUAGCUAGAGUGCGGUAGGGGCAGAGGGAAUUCCCGGUGUAGCGGUGAAAUGCGUAGAGAUCGGGAAGAACACCGGUGGCGAAAGCGCUCUGCUGGGCCGCAACUGACACUGAGGGACGAAAGCUAGGGGAGCGAAUGGGAUUAGAUACCCCAGUAGUC